GAUGAACGCUAGCGAUAGGCUUAACACAUGCAAGUCGAGGGGUAACAGGGUAGCAAUACCGCUGACGACCGGCGCACGGGUGCGUAACACGUAUGCAACCUGCCCCAUACACCGGGAUAGGCUUUCGAAAGGGAGAUUAAUACCGGAUAAAACAGGGUAUCCGCCUGGAUAAAUUAGUUAAAGGGUUACCGGUAUGGGAUGGGCAUGCGCAGGAUUAGAUAGUUGGCAGGGUCACGGCCUACCAAGUCGACGAUCCUUAGGGGAACUGAGAGGUUUAUCCCCCACACUGGUACUGAGACAGGGACCAGACUCCUACGGGAGGCAGCAGUGAGGAAUAUUGGUCAAUGGACGAGAGUCUGAACCAGCCAAAUCGCGUGAAGGAAGACGGUAUUAUGUAUUGUAAACUUCUUUUGCAGGGGGGUAAAAUCCGGGACGUGUCCCGGUUUGCAAGUACCCUGCGAAUAAGCAUCGGCUAACUCCGUGCCAGCAGCCGCGGUAAUACGGAGGAUGCAAGCGUUAUCCGGAUUUAUUGGGUUUAAAGGGUGCGUAGGUUGACUGGUAAGUCAGCGGUGAAAUCCUGUUGCUUAACAACAGCACUGCCGUUGAAACUGCCGGUCUUGAGUGUAAACGAGGCAGGCGGAAUUCGUAAUGUAGCGGUGAAAUGCAUAGAUAUUACGAAGAACCCCGAUAGCGCAGGCAGCUUGCCAGGCUACAACUGACACUGAAGCACGAAAGUGUGGGUAUCAAACAGGAUUAGAUACCCUGGUAGYCCACACAGUAAACGAUGAUCACUCGCUGUUUGCGAUACACAGUAAGCGGCUUAGCGAAAGCGUUAAGUGAUCCACCUGGGGAGUACGCCGGCAACGGUGAAACUCAAAGGAAUUGACGGGGGCCCGCACAAGCGGAGGAACAUGUGGUUUAAUUCGAUGAUACGCGAGGAACCUUACCCGGGCUCGAACGGCUUUUGCAUGUAUAUGAAAAUAUACAGUCAGCGAUGACAAAAGUCGAGGUGCUGCAUGGUUGUCGUCAGCUCGUGCCGUGAGGUGUCGGCUUAAGUGCCAUAACGAGCGCAACCCCUACCGGAAGUUACCACCAGGUUAAGCUGGGGACUCUGCCGGGACUGCCACCGUAAGGUGUGAGGAAAGUGGGGAUGACGUCAAAUCAGCACGGCCCUUACGUCCGGGGCUACACACGUGUUACAAUGGGUGGGACAGAGGGCAGCAACCUGGCGACAGGACGCCAAUCUCGAAACCCACUCCCAGUUCGGAUUGGAGUCUGCAACCCGACUCCAUGAAGCCGGAUUCGCUAGUAAUCGCGCAUCAGCCAUGGCGCGGUGAAUACGUUCCCGGGCCUU
rnacentral:rRNA from 1 species